GGCGGAUUCAGGGCGUCUUCUGGCUUUCCUGGAAGUAUGGGAAUGGCUUGAUUGUUCUAACCGGAUGCAUGCUGGGACUGGCAGCCCUGUACAUGGACCAUUCCAAUGCAGGGUUACAUAGUGGAGUUGGUGGAGACCUGCAAUGCUCCCUGGAAAGGAGGCAUGGAAUAAAACACAACAUAUUUAACCUAUCACCUAGUGUAUAGCAGUGUAUAGACCCAUUGGUGCAUGGUAACUGACCAAUCAGAGACACAGAAUUCUACUACAGGUAUAAUGACACAUGAUUACAGAGAUAAGCAGUUAUCUUGAGUGGUUGACUAGACUUUUACUGAUUUCACUGCAUGUGUAAUGGUGUAAUCAUAGCACAGUCACAGAGUUGUGUAAUUUGUGAAUUAUGGAUAGCUAUAUAGACUUUCAGUGAUUUAUCUGCAUGAAAUGUGAAAAUACAAUCACAGUUAUGUAGUCAUCUAAUACAGAUAGCUAGCUAUAGACUAUCAUUUAUUUCUCUGCAUGUUAUAUUAUUAUGAUACAAUCACAGAUUUAUGUAGUCACCUAAUGUGAA